UACGAGGGGUGCAAGCGUUGCUCGGAAUUAUUGGGCGUAAAGGGUAGGUAGGUGGUCUCAUUUGUCUGGGGUGAAAUCCCGGGGCUUAACCCCGGAAGUGCCCCAGAAACGGUGAGACUCGAGUCCUGGAGAGGGUCGUGGAAUUCCCGGUGUAGCGGUGAAAUGCGUAGAGAUCGGGAGGAACACCAGCGGCGAAGGCGGCGACCUGGACAGGUACUGACACUCAACUACGAAAGCGUGGGGAGCAAACGGG
rnacentral:rRNA from 1 species